rnacentral:rRNA from 2 species
UUAAAUUGAAGAGUUUGAUCAUGGCUCAGAUUGAACGCUGGCGGCAGGCCUAACACAUGCAAGUCGAACGGUAACAGGAAACAGCUUGCUGUUUCGCUGACGAGUGGCGGACGGGUGAGUAAUGUCUGGG